ensembl:lncRNA
GUUAAAAUCCCAGAGUAUUCAUGACCAGAGUAGAUUUUAUACACUUUGGUGUUGAAUAGGCACUAAGUACAUUUUUUGGGGUGUACCAGAAACACUCUUGGGUGUUGUCUCUAAGUAUAAUGCUGGUGUAGAGUAAUUUAAGUGUUUAUUUUAGGAUGAUGGACUCCCUGAGUGUACAACGGUUGAGUGUCCUACUAUCCCGGCGGCACGUCGGUUUAGGUUUCGAUUCGUCAUUGGCUCGCUGCGCCUUCUCAUUGGUUGAAUCUAGAGACAUGUGACCGUUUGUCCUCUUCCACACUACGCGGCAAACUGUUUCGACAGAGACGGUUGACUAGAGAGGAUCGAAUCAAUAUCGCCAAGGAAUUGCUCCGAGUGAACGAAGACAUUUUUGAACUUCACGGGAAUGUAAACAGGUUGGGAUAGUGACAUGGCCUCACUUCUCCUGCUGGUCUACCUCCUGCCACCACCUCCAAGUGGAAAGAAUGGAGCUGUCAAAAUCAGUAUCCGGGAAGCUGUGGAUCGUGUAGUGAAGUUUCACAGGGGUCAGGACUGAAGACGGGGCUCUCCCUGAGCAGACUGCGGCACAACCUGAAGCACAAUCACUGCUAAGUGGAACCAGUAGAUUUCGUCCGGGGGCUUUUUCUGCGGACUACAGCGCUGCUACAGAUGAUGUGACCGUGACCAUGCCAGAUGCCUUUGGAGGGAAAACACGUUUGAAUGGAGAUUGUAGAGAUUGAGGGCGAAAAUUGUAUUGAAGUAUUGGCUUUGGCCCCGUCCACACAGUCUUGUACGUUUGGUCCGACCGUCCAGACAAACCCGGAAUUUUGGAUACCUGCAAACACAUUUUUUUAAACCAGGGACCUCUACGAAUUCUCUUUUUUGCAUAGGAAAUUCCCUUCCUAUGGAGAUGACCCCGGAAGUGCUUGGAGGAAAGGUGGUUCGAAUUCUAAAAAUGCUCAAAUUCUAAAAGGAGCCUUGAUGCUUCUUUUAACCCUCCUUUAUACUCCUGAGAUUCCUUUGCGAAAGGAAAGGAGAUAGUGGUAUCCCAUAUUCCUUUACGGCGGCAAUAUUUAAAGCAACAUGCCAUCAACGAAGUUAACCGACUCUACGCAAAGACGCAUGAGAGAUGGGGGAAAGCAGAAGAAUAGAAGAGAAGAAAAUACAAUUGAUGAUACCUGAUACCAAUUCCAGAAACAUAAUUAUUUGAAUACAAAUGAAUUCAUUUAUUGCUGGUUAAUAAGCACAUAAAAUGCACCAUAAGAAAAGAAAAUGCCAACUACACACCAACCCUACCAGCUGGGCAUAGUUCGAUUUCCGUCAAAUUUGUUUGAUUUGAUUUGUAUUAUUUUUGUAGUUUUAAAUACAGCCCCUUGGUAAAUUAAUUAUUAACUGUACAUUAAAAAGUAUAUUUUUAACGUUGUGUGUGUGUGUGUGUGUGUGUGUGUGUGUGUGUGUGUGUGUGUGUGUGUGUGAAAUGGGGUG